rnacentral:rRNA from 1 species
UUGUUUAUCAAAAACAUGUCCUUUUGAUUUAGUAUUUAAGGUCUGACCUGCCCAGUGAUUAAUUUAACGGCCGCGGUAUACUGACCGUGCAAAGGUAGCAUAAUCAUUAGUCUUUUAAUAGAGGGCUGGAAUGAAAGGUUUAACGAGGAAUUGACUGUCUCAUAUUAUUUAUUUUAAAAUUUAAUUUUUUAGUUAAAAAGCUAAAAUACUGUUGGAAGACGAGAAGACCCUAUAGAACUUUAUUUUCUUUUUAUAUAACUUUUUUAGUUUUUAAUAAGUUUAUAUAUUUAUGUUAAUUAUGUUGGGGUGACAGAAAAAAUAAUAUAACUUUUUCUAUUUUUUUCAUUUAUUUAUGUUUUUUUGAUCCUACAUUAUGGAUAAUAAGAUUAAGUUACCUUAGGGAUAACAGCGUUAUUUUCUUAAAGAGUUCUUAUCGAUAAGAAAGUUUGCGACCUCGAUGUUGGAUUAAAAUAAGUGAUAGGAGCAGAAUAUUAUUUACUAGGUCUGUUCGACCUUUGAAUUUUUACAUGAUCUGAGUUCAAACCCGGGA